AGAAAAUCCACCACUGAUCUUACGACUGUGAAGAUGGCAAUUGCACAUGCAGCCAUGAAUAGAAGAGGCGAAGUAUUGGCUGCUCAUGUGUAUCUUCGGUACAACUCCGCCUUCAAUGCACUGCAUCCAGAUAGAAUGAUUUGGCAACAACAAAAGCAACAGUUUAAUGGAAGUAUUAUUGCAGAAGCACAGGGAGAGCUACCAAAGUGUUUCCCAUAGGACCGAAGGAAAGACUGAAGGGCAAAUGUCAUCUUAGAACUUACAAAGGUUUGUCACUGUGGUGUUCUCCUUGGGAGAAUGUCCUUGAAGAGUCUGUAGUUGCCGAUUGCAAAUGUCACCAUUUUUCGGAGGUGCCCAGGGAGCCCCACAAAGGGCGUUUGGUGAACAACCUUUUAAGGGCUGCGGGCUGAUUCUCAGAGGGAGAACAUU
rnacentral:lncRNA from 1 species